GUGAUCACUUCAGCAGUACUCAUACUAAAAUUGCAAUGACAGAGAAGAUUAGCAUGGUCCCUGUGCAAAGAUGACAUGCAAAUUCGUAAAGCAUCCCGUAUCUUU
rnacentral:snRNA from 1 species